GCAGCUGCGACGCCGCCGUUUCACUCUUCUCCGUUUCAGGCUUGAAAUUCACGGACAUCUGAAGAAGUAUCAAAAAACAGCUAAAACAUGUCUCGGAAAGGAUUGAUGGAGCAAGACCUGAGUAAGUUGGAUGUAACAAAGUUGCAUCCACUUUCACCAGAGGUUAUUUCUCGUCAGGCUACGAUAAAUAUUGGGACCAUUGGGCAUGUGGCUCAUGGAAAGUCAACAGUUGUAAAAGCU
rnacentral:misc_RNA from 1 species